UCCAGGCUCUCGCGGACGCGCGCAAGCCGGGCAGCUACCCACGCGUUGAGUCCGCCGCGGCUCCCAGGGGAGAGAAAUGGGAUGCAGACAGAAGUACCGAGCUCAGGAAGGGGGAAUGGAUCUCAGGCAGAGAUCCCCUCGCGCUGAGACCGUCGCUCCUGAGUCUUCGCUUGGGAUUCCCUCCCUCAGGACCACAUGGCGAGUCCCUGACACCGCAGACGGACUAGCCCCACCAGUCUGGUCUGGGGCCCCAAGAGAGGGGCACUUGCCGACUGCAAGGAGGACGGCGAAAGGACGAGGGAGCAUGGUAAGGCCGCCAAAAACAGAGAUAAGGAAGACAAAUCCCCUCACACUUGCUGUGUAGCGAAAGAGGCGCCGGCCGAAAACCGGCUCAGAUGCAGCGUGGGGCGGGAGUCAGCGCGUGCUGGGGCUUUGGCCUUUUCCUCUGCAGUCAGGCCGCGUCAUCGCCACGGCGAUCCCCAUCAGCCAGCCCUGCCUCUGAGCACCUGUCAAGAGCCACCUGCGAAGGCUCCACGUGACGCCGACUCGGAAGCCGCGGGCCUCCCACGCCGCUGCAGGAGGGGUCUCGCACGCCCGCCGCCCGCAGCCGCCAGGCGCCCCUCCCGGGCCCACUGGCCACAGCCCGCCGGCCCGCAGUCCUCCAGCCGCAGGCGUGGACUCAAACACUCGGAUGGCAGUGCCGGACUCCCGGGAGGGCCAGAUCUCAGAGCCUGGGGGUGGUGAGCAGAAAAGAACGGUUUUCGGUUUC